AUGAUUCUGGUUUAAGUCGUGAUGAGUUUUUCUAUCAGUACAGAUAAUCUGGAAAAACUCGUCAUGACUGAUACCAUGAUCCU
rnacentral:pre_miRNA from 1 species